rnacentral:rRNA from 1 species
AUUCCAGCUCCAAUAGCGUAUAUUAAAGUUGUUGCAGUUAAAAAGCUCGUAGUUGGACUUCUGGCAGGGCGCCGCGUGCCACAGUAGUGCGCACAAGGGCCCGGCCAUCCUUCUGUAAACGUCGGGGAAGUUUAUUCGUCCGCGGCGGGAUCAGUUAAUUUACCUUGAGAAAAUUAGAGUGUUUCAGGCAGGCGUAGCCGGAAUACAUUAGCAUGGAAUAAUGGAAUAGGACUUAGUCUCUUUGUUGGUUCGAGGGACUGGAGUAAUGAUUAAUAGGGAUAGUUGGGGGCAUUAGUAUUUAUUAGCUAGAGGUGGAAUUCUCUAAUUUGAUAAAGGCUAACUUAUGCGAAAGCAUUUGCCAAGGAUGUUUUCAUUG